UGUGAGCAUUGUGCUUUGAAGGUGAGCACUUUUUCCAUGAACAUUGUGCUUUGAAGGUGGUGCUGUGUGCAUGAAUGUGUGUGUGAGUUAUGGUUUUGGAGGGAGAGAGAAUAUAUAAUUCAAAAAUAAACAGCAAGAAGAGAUAAAUUCCUUCAGAAAAAAAAUGGGGCAAUUGUCUAGAGGCAGUUUAGUAUCCAUGUUUUUGGUUUUCGUUGUCUAAUAUAUAUAUAAAUUUUUGUUACUUGAUUUCUUAAGGGAGAAAAACAAGUUGCGAUAAGUGAAAGCCACAAAGAUGCAAGUCACUUUUUUUUUUUUUUUUUAA
rnacentral:misc_RNA from 1 species